GAUGAACGCUGGCGGCGUGCUUAACACAUGCAAGUCGAACGAUGAAGCCCAGCUUGCUGGGUGGAUUAGUGGCGAACGGGUGAGUAACACGUGAGUAACGUGCCCUUAACUCUGGGACAAGCCUGGGAAACUGGGUCUAUUACCGGAUAGGAGCGUCCACCGCAUGGUGGGUGUUGGAAAGAUUUAUCGGUUUUGGAUGGACUCGCGGCCUAUCAGCUUGUUGGUGAGGUAAUGGCUCACCAAGGCGACGACGGGUAGCCGGCCUGAGAGGGUGACCGGCCACACUGGGACUGAGACACGGCCCAGACUCCUACGGGAGGCAGCAGUGGGGAAUAUUGCACAAUGGGCGCAAGCCUGAUGCAGCGACGCCGCGUGAGGGAUGACGGCCUUCGGGUUGUAAACCUCUUUCAGUAGGGAAGAAGCGAAAGUGACGGUACCUGCAGAAGAAGCACCGGCUAACUACGUG
rnacentral:rRNA from 1 species